CCAAUGAUCGAUAACAGACUCACACUGAUUCAAUUUUGAGAGCGAGGGAGAGCUAGAGAACUGGGUCACUGGGAGAUGUAAAGUAGAACAGUGAAAACGUCUGAUUCCAUUUCAUUUCUUAGAGGUUUUUCUGGAGGGGUGAGGUUUUGCAAUGAGGGUUACUCUGUUGCUGGUGCUGCUGUUCGAUCUGUCUGCGACAUGGGCUCAAGGAGUGGGUGGAGGAGCUGACCAAGGCUUACAGAUGAGAAUUAUCUGGGAUGAGCUUAGACAUCUGAGAGACAUGGUGGUGGAGCAGAAGGUGGAACUCAGGAACAGCAAGGCUGAAUUGCAAACCCAGAGGGGCAAAGUGGCUGCUUUAGAGAAGGAGAACACAGGUAGUAAAUCAAAGACAACUGUGAUGUUUAUGCUGGGGAUGCAAUGAUUCUUAAUGAAAAUUAUGAUAACUUUCAUCAUCAAUUACUUUUUUUUUUUUUUUUUUUUAAGUAAACAAUUAAAUUAUUAGCAAAAUUGUUGCAGAUUUCUCUUUGGUGAUAAACUAAUCUAUUAAUUGUAAUUGUUUCAGCUCUAGAUUAGGCUAAACCCAAGUAAAGGUAACCUAAUAAUUACUUGUGAUAGAGUACUUUUAGCGAAGGUUAAAUGAUAUCCACAUAAACAGCCUUUAGAUGGAAUUGCAGCAAUUUUAAUAUUAAUUCAGUGAACUUAGCAGAAUAUCACCACUAAAAGAAAAACAUCAGACUCACAGUCUCCCUAAUCUGUUUAAUAAUGGCUGUAAUGUAAAGCCUAUUGCAGCUUUCUGUUUGAACUGAAAAACUCUACAAUACCAGACACCAGAAGAUGGGAUAAGUCAGUAUAAAAGUCUUAUAAAGUUAAUUAUUAAGUUGAAUUUGCAGUCAUAUCAGCACUAACACACAAUAACAAACCAGAAAUGUAUUUUUUGCAGCCCUGGUUUCCAGAGUGACAACCAGUCAGAAGGAGGAGCAGGAGCAGGAGAAACGGGUGACAGCUCUCAGGGAAGAGCUGGAUGUUUGUAAGACUUAACUACAGCUCACCAAGAACAAAUUGUAAACAGAAAGGACAACUGCAGAAACUCAGAAGCUGGCUUUCUCUGCUGGAUUGCCCACUACAGGAAAAAUUGGACCAUUCGAAACUUAAACUCCACUCAACUACAGUAGUCUUCACAAAUAUUGGCGGGGCUUACAACCCAACUACAGGUAUCUUCACUGCACUGGUCAAAGGAGUCUAGAAUGGAUGGGAGUAAAUUUAUACCAUAAUACUGAAAAAAAAUGCAUAAUUCGGAGGGAGCUAACGGUCAUACUUCCAUUGCAAAUGCAUUAUUUCUACAGCUGGAACAGGGAAGUGUGGUCUGUGUGUGUCUCCAACAAGACUGUAGCCUUUAUGAUGAUUCGAGCACCUUUAACAUCUUCAGUGGUUUCCUGCUGUUCCCUCUGUAACUUUCAGGUAUAGAUUGUUUCUUCACCAAGGCCUUGAGGUUUCCAGUGGUCUAUUACAUUACAUUGAAUUCAUACUUUGACAAUACUGUUGUUGGUUACCUCAAUUUGAUGAAGUAAUGUAUAUACAAAGACCAAAUAUAUGACAAGUUUUGUGCCUAUGUCCAUUAGAAACAUGAAUGGUUGAUUAACUUUUUCAUCUAUGUGUAUGUCCGUGAGUGUGAGGAUUGGUGAUUUAUUUUAUUUCUUUAUUUAUCCAUUUUUAGCUCAAUCUUUUUAAUUUUUACUGCCUAUUUAUCAUGUAUUCAUUGUAUUUUGCAAGCUUUACUUACUUAUUCACUUAGAACUGUUUAUUACUUAUGUGUCAUGUGUGUGGUAUAUUGUGCUGUGUUUGUGGAACGGUACAACACUGAUGCUCAGCAUGACUAAAGUUCAUGUUACAUUACAUUCAUUUAUCUGACGCUUUUAUCCAAAGCGAUUUACAAUUGCUAUACAUGUCAGAGGUUGCACGCCUCUGGAGUAACUAGGGGUUAAGUGUCUUGGUCAGGAACACAUUGGUGGAUGUGCCGAUGUGGGAUUCGAACCCUGGUCUCCCACAUCAAAGGCAUGUGUCUUAUUGUGGCCCUGGCUUCGUGUCAAGAUUAACAAUGAGUAGCAGUAGUAACAAGAGAAAGUUAGCAUUUAAAAACAAUACCACUGAUAAAAUGGGUGGAACAGAUUUUCUUUGAAAACUGUGUACAAGUCAAUACAGAAGAAUUAACUUAGAGCAGUGGCCAAUAAUAGGCCCGUGGGCCAAAGCUUGCCCGCAAGCAAUAAUAUCUGGCACGUGGCCAUAUUUCUUUGUUAGUGGCAAAAAAAUAAUAAUAAUAGCGGCUGGUGCUAAAACAGAUCUCAGUCACGACAACAAAAGUUACUUACAAAUCAAUUCCUCCUAAUUGAUUGUGUCUACAAAAUAAAAGCGUGAGAACAUUUCUGCAGCAGUA